rnacentral:rRNA from 1 species
UGGAUCCAGACUUUGAUCUGGCUCGGGAUGAACGCUAGCUACAGGCUUAACACAUGCAAGUCGAGGGGCAGCAUCAUCAAAGCUUGCUUUGAUGGAUGGCGACCGGCGCACGGGUGAGUAACACGUAUCCAACCUGCCGACAACACUGGGAUAGCCUUUCGAAAGAAAGAUUAAUACCGGAUGGCAUAGUUUUCCCGCAUGGGAUGAUUACUAAAGAAUUUCGGUUGUCGAUGGGGAUGCGUUCCAUUAGGCAGUUGGCGGGGUAACGGCCCACCAAACCAACGAUGGAUAGGGGUUCUGAGAGGAAGGUCCCCCACAUUGGAACUGAGACACGGUCCAAACUCCUACGGGAGGCAGCAGUGAGGAAUAUUGGUCAAUGGACGAGGGUCUGAACCAGCCAAGUAGCGUGAAGGAUGACUGCCCUAUGGGUUGUAAACUUCUUUUAUACGGGAAUAAAGUUAGCCACGUGUGGCUUUUUGUAUGUACCGUAUGAAUAAGGAUCGGCUAACUCCGUGCCAGCAGCCGCGGUAAUACGGAGGAUCCGAGCGUUAUCCGGAUUUAUUGGGCUUAAAGGGAGCGUAGGCGGGUUGUUAAGUCAGUUGUGAAAGUUUGCGGCUCAACCGUAAAAUUGCAGUUGAUACUGGCGACCUUGAGUGCAACAGAGGUAGGCGGAAUUCGUGGUGUAGCGGUGAAAUGCUUAGAUAUCACGAAGAACUCCGAUUGCGAAGGCAGCUUACUGGAUUGUAACUGACGCUGAUGCUCGAAAGUGUGGGUAUCAAACAGGAUUAGAUACCCUGGUAGUCCACACAGUAAACGAUGAAUACUCGCUGUUGGCGAUAUACGGUCAGCGGCCAAGCGAAAGCAUUAAGUAUUCCACCUGGGGAGUACGCCGGCAACGGUGCAACUCAAAUGAAUUGACGGA